rnacentral:rRNA from 1 species
AUGCAUGAACAGGAAGGUGUUUUGUGUAAAACUGUGGUCUCCGGAUUAAUAGGCAAAAUUGCAUCUCUGAAAAAAAUACUACACUGGCCUGAAAUUGUCUGGCCCAACAUGAGAAAAAAAAGGUGGGGCGCUGGGGUGGCUCACUUUGGGCUGAGGCCCAGUUGGGAAGAGGCUUGGGCAGGCCGGCUGCUGGGCCUUGAGGAGGGUCGCGGUCCACAUGCGGUCAACGGGCAUAGGAGGUUUGCGAGGGACUCGCUCGCCCUCCUCUCGUACAGGAAGAAGCGGCGGCGGUCUCAGGGAACAGAAGCAGGGAGGUCAUAG